AAGAAGCUUGCUUCUUUGCUGACGAGUGGCGGACGGGUGAGUAAUGUCUGGGAAACUGCCCGAUGGAGGGGGAUAACUACUGGAAACGGUAGCUAAUACCGCAUAACGUCUUCGGACCAAAGAGGGGGACCUUCGGGCCUCUUGCCAUCGGAUGUGCCCAGAUGGGAUUAGCUAGUAGGGGGGGUAACGGCUCACCUAGGCGACGAUCCCUAUCUGGUCUGAGAGGAUGACCAGCCACACUGUAACUGAGACACUGUCCCGACUCCUACGGGAGGCACCAGUGGGGAAUAUUGUACAAUGGGCGCAAGCCUGAUGCAACCAUGCUUCGUGUAUUAAUAAGGCCUUCGGGUUGUAACCUACUUUCGGCGGGGAGGAAGGAACUGAG
rnacentral:rRNA from 1 species